GGAUAUGACAACAGCCUGAUCCAUGGUAGAAAGAAGAUGUAAAAAAGGGAUACCUUUCUCUGAGUAAAAUUGAGCUAAGGGCUUUGGAGAUUUCACCCUGGAUUUUCAAAGGACCUCCAGUGGACUUGUGUUUUGAGAAUCUGCAACUAAAUCAUUUAUGACUAAUUCCCAAUCAGAAUACCGACUUACUGUGAAAACUUUUAUCUGCAAAUCCAGUUUUGCACUUCGAAUAUGGAAAAACUGAACUUACAUAAUUUG
rnacentral:lncRNA from 1 species